ACGAACGCUGGCGGCGUGCCUAACACAUGCAAGUCGAACGAGAGAGUCCUUCGGGAUGAUCUAGUGGCGCACGGGUGAGUAAUAGAUAGGAACGUACCGAUUGGUGGGGAAUAACUCAGAGAAAUUUGAGCUAAUACCGCAUGUGAUCGUGAGAUCAAAGAGGGCCUAUGCUUGCAAGCUCUCGCCAAUUGAGCGGCCUAUCUCCCAUUAGCUAGUUGGUAGGGUAAAGGCCUACCAAGGCUACGAUGGGUAGCUGGUCUGAGAGGACGAUCAGCCACACUGGAACUGAGACACGGUCCAGACUCCUACGGGAGGCAGCAGUGGGGAAUAUUGCACAAUGGGGGAAACCCUGAUGCAGCAACGCCGCGUGAGUGAAGAAGGCCCUUGGGUCGUAAAGCUCUUUCGGCUGGGAAGAAGGGUCAUGAGGCUAAUAUCCUGAAGAUCUGACGGUACCAGAAGAAGAAGCACUGGCUAAUUCCGU
rnacentral:rRNA from 1 species